UACGUAGGGCGCAAGCGUUGUCCGGAAUUAUUGGGCGUAAAGAGCUCGUAGGCGGCUUGUCACGUCGGUUGUGAAAGCCCGGGGCUUAACCCCGGGUCUGCAGUCGGUACGGGCAGGCUAGAGUUCGGUAGGGGAGAUCGGAAUUCCUGGUGUAGCGGUGAAAUGCGCAGAUAUCGGGAGGAACACCCGUAGCGAAGGCGGCACUCUGGGCCGGAACUGACGCUGAGGAGCGAAAGCGUGGGGAGCAAACAGG
rnacentral:rRNA from 1 species